CUCAGCCGGAGGAAUGUCCUGGCACGGAGGCCGGGGCGCCCGGCGAGGGUGACGCAACGGGCACGGCGCGCUCCCGUCUCCGCGGCGGGCAAAGGCCAGCAGGCGCGGCCGCACUCCUUCGGGAGCGGCGGCCAGCACCCCGCUCGUCCUCAGCCCUGCCCAAGCCGUUAAGAAGGUGACUGAUAGCUUGGAGCCCCAGAGGGAUUUUGGGACCCGACCGGUGGAAGAGGCUGCUUAAGCCGGCAGAAGGGACCCUGCCAGGGAGGGUGGAGCCGCAGCUUCCCUUAGGGGGGGGAAUCUGCCUCCUGGUCCGACAGCAGGGCUUGCUGGGGAUCCCUGCUCCACGCCAGCACACGCGUCCGGCCCCUCGCUGCACGCUCCCAGGAUUAGCGCGCAUGGGAGGCACCGCAAGUCUUGCUAACUUGCAGCAAAAUCGCGCUAGGAUCCACCGCUUACAGUCAAAUAUAUUUACCGUAUAGUUUUCUAAAAGAAAUGUAUCUGCGGUGUAAGGGAAGACGUAAAAACUCAGUGUUUGCCUUUCACUGGGUUUUUCUCUAAUGCUCACUUACAUUACGAGAAGUUAAGAUUUUAUCCGGCAUUCUUUGCACUCCCACUGAAAAUACAGAACUGUUGGAGCGAAACUGGAUGUUUUCCAGAGGUACGCAAGAGAGCAAAGGGGGAAAGGAAGUGCCCUGAGCAACAGAUCUCAUCAAAUGGAGUUUCCUAUGGAUUUCUCUCUCUUGAAAGAUUAAUUUUUUCUAACUGAACAGUAUUAAGACUUUCAAUGUACACCUACGCAAGUUCCUCUGCUUUCCCUUUGUAGUCCUCCUGAAUGUAAUCUGGCUACACCAUAACAGAUCUGAUGUCUCCUAGCGGAAACCAACAAGUUCCUGAGUUGAACUGGUAGGCAUACAGCCCCACUUUCUUCUAUCUCGAAUUAUUUCAUGAAACUUAAUUACUUAAUUAAGGAUCUUAAUUACUUUUGCGACCUCUAUCCUUCUGCCAGAUUUAACUCAAAUAAGCUAACAAGUUAAAAAGUCACUGGGACAAGGACUAGCCCAAGUGACAGAGGAGAUGCCCGAGGAGGCCAAGCAGAGGCCUUGCUUCCACGGGAAAUGAGGCUGAAAUGAUAAUGUUGAAUUUAGUGACAUUGACAGAGAAGCACAGAGGAGGUACAGCAUGCAGAAGGAAAGGACUAUGAUUUCAGAGAGCUUCAAUGCAUAAGGCAACUUAGUUCAUUAUAACCACUUCGCACUAAUGAGCAUCCAGGAGUGGAAUCCGAACAAACAGUGCCUUCUGCUUCAUGAGAUUUCUAUAAAGUCAUGAAAUACUCCUUCUUCAGCCCUUGCUUCUUCUGUACUCUGACAACUGCCAGGUGCCCGUCAGUGAGGUGCAGCGGUAGCCCUGUGUGCCUCAGGUAUGCACCUUGGGAGGUGAAGAGAAUAACAAGCACUUCUGAUUCAUUAUUCAGUUUCCAUGGUAGUAAAGACGGAGGGUGAGUCAUGCACAGUCUUGGAGUUGUCAUCCCUGGAGCAUCUACCCAGUCGUGCAACUCUGGAGCUGGUAACUCUUUCUCAACCUUUCGUUUUACAAGCCUGGGAUAUGCAGUGCAGAGGCCCCGUGUGGGUGGCUGAGGAUGCACUGCAAGGGCACAGGAUUAGGGCAAUGACACACAGCGGUUUCAUAGUAUUGUACAAGUGUUGAAGAAGCCUGCUGAGCCCGUGGCAGCGACCAUGGUCACUGGCACUGGAGGAUGUACUGCACACGCGCACAGCUGCAUCUGCUUGCAAAGACAAAGGAACCCCCAUGCUGCUAUUUGCCACAGCGGCCUCCCGACAUUGUGCAUGGCUGCAAGGACGCGGACCUCCGUUUGGGACACUGAGCAGGCACAGCGUGCCAUGACAUGCUGCAGCGUCGGGAAGGCUGUUUUGGGAGACAUUAAACCAUCCUGACAAAGAGGAUCUGAAACCGCUUAACGUCCACCCCAGUCCAUGAAGCUGUGCAACAGCAGCAGAUGCCCAGAAAUGGGGCUGUCAAGACACUCCCGGGGACUUAUGUUGGUUUAAGCCAAGCAUAAAACUGUGUCUUGAGAGUUAUCCGGUUUAGGAUUUGUGCUAUUAAUUCCCAUAACAAUUUUCACCUAUCCUAGCUUGUUUGAUCAAAAAGCAGCACAUACUGUAUUUGAAAACUGAAUUGGGUAAUGGCUGACUCUUUAAAUGCAAAUACGCAAUAAAGGUACUCUUUCCUGGCUCCCA